rnacentral:rRNA from 1 species
UACGUAGGGUGCGAGCGUUAAUCGGAAUUACUGGGCGUAAAGCGUGCGCAGGCGGUUCGUUGUGUCGGCGGUGAAAGCCCCCGGGCUCAACCUGGGAAUGGCCGUUGAAACUGGCGAACUGGAGUGUGGCAGAGGGGGGUGGAAUUCCGCGUGUAGCAGUGAAAUGCGUAGAGAUGCGGAGGAACACCGAUGGCGAAGGCAGCCCCCUGGGCUGGACACUGACGCUCGAGGCACGAAAGCGUGGG